AGAAGAUAGAAGUCUAAAAUAUUUAAUGUUCUACAUUUUACAUAUCUAUAAAAUUAAUAGAUAUAUCAGUAUUUGAAAGUAACAUACUUUAAUUCAAUCAGAAAUAUAUAUUUUCAAGUAAAAUACAUUUUUAUUUUCACUAUUAUCAUUAACCACAUGGAUACUUAUUUAUUUAACAGUACGUCUGCCAUAGUAUAGGUUAAGAUAAUUAUUUCAUUAUCAAAUGAAGUU